rnacentral:rRNA from 1 species
GAAGUCGUAACAAGGUAACCACUAGAGUUUGAUCCUGGCUCAGGAUGAACGCUAGCGGGAGGCUUAAUACAUGCAAGUCGAACGGCAGCAUUGGACUUCGGUUCAGAUGGCGAGUGGCGCACGGGUGAGUAACGCGUACACGACCUACCUACGAGAGGGGGAUAGUCACGGGAAACUGUGAAUAAUACCGCAUGUGAUUACUUUGAUGAUGUUAGAGUAAUUAAAGUUUAGGCGCUCGUAGAUGGGUGUGCGUCCCAUUAGCUAGUUGGAGAGGUAACGGCUCCCCAAGGCGACGAUGGGUAGGGGGCGUGAGAGCGUGGACCCCCACACGGGUACUGAGACACGGACCCGACUCCUACGGGAGGCAGCAGUAAGGAAUAUUGGACAAUGCCCGCAAGGGUGAUCCAGCCAUCCCGCGUGCAGGAAGACGGCCCUAUGGGUUGUAAACUGCUUUUAGAUGAGAAGAAACCCCUGGAUUUAUCUGGGGCUGACGGUAUCAUCAGAAUAAGCACCGGCUAACUCCGUGCCAGCAGCCGCGGUAAUACGGAGGGUGCGAGCGUUAUCCGGAAUCACUGGGUUUAAAGGGUGCGUAGGCGGUUUCAUAAGUCAGAGGUGAAAGGCACGAGCUUAACUGGUGAAUUGCCUUUGAUACUGUGGGACUAGAAUAGUGAUGAGGUUAGCGGAAUGUGACAUGUAGCGGUGAAAUGCAUAGAUAUGUCAUAGAACACCAAUUGCGAAGGCAGCUAACUGGUCAAAGAUUGACGCUGAGGCACGAAAGCGUGGGGAGCGAACAGGAUUAG